GCUCUGCUUAGAGCUCUGCAGUGGAAAACCCGUUCAGAGGCAGAUAAGAAAAACAACAGCGAACAGCGAGUGGAAAAUUGUUAUGUUGCAACUUCAAAAAAAAAAAAAACAAGUUCCGUUAGUGCCUUUCCUUUGUUUUGGGGUUUCCUUUUACCGUCCGUCCCCCUUCUUUUUAAAAGCAUUAUGAAAUCCGAAAAUAAUUUAACACUUACAUGAAGUGUAAUAACGGAAAGCACAUGGCUAAUGUUAGACUCCCUCUUCCACUUCUACUUCUUCUUCCUCGCACAGCUGAUUGUGAAUAACAGGUUACAACCAGAAAGAGACAGACAGCGACAGCGAGAGAUGGAGAGUUCAAAAGCAAAGUUGAUAAAUGACACAAAUGCCCCAUGCAAAGCAAAUGCAGUGCCACAAUUAGAAAAUGUGUGUCAAUUAUAUUAACAAAAAUAAAAAAAAACUCGAGUAGUUUUCCUCCUGA